GGAGAGACGGAACGCUACUGUUUCAACAUCGAUUAUUUCCCAACGGAAGAGUACAGUCCCGAUCCCAAUGACUCGACACUCUCAAUCCCUUAUGCGGUCUUGAGGUCGGCUCCGUUCUUUUUCAUGGCCACCGCUCUGUUGGUCGUCGGAGAGAUUUCCUGUUUCCUCGGCCACUUUGCACCCAGGAGACGCUAUUGCACUUUUCUAUCCGGCGUCACUUUUAUCCUUUCCGGAUGGUUACUUUUACUCGGUCUGGUUGUUUACGUCUCGGUUUUCACGGCUGAAAUCGGAAGUAAAAGUAAAUUAAGGCCCAGCUCAUCAUUAUAACCGCCAAUAUUCACCUACGCCUA
rnacentral:lncRNA from 1 species